GGUAAAAUGGCUGAUAAAAGCGAUAAAUUGUAAAUUUAUUUAUGAAAAAUUUUCUUUUACCA
rnacentral:tRNA from 1 species